AUUGAACGCUGGCGGCAGGCCUAACACAUGCAAGUCGAGCGAGCGGCGGACGGGUGAGUAAUGUCUGGGAAACUGCCUGAUGGAGGGGGAUAACUACUGGAAACGGUAGCUAAUACCGCAUACCAUCAGAUGUGCCCAGGUGGGUUUAGCUAGUAGGUGGGGUAACGGCUCACCUAGGCGACGAUCCCUAGCUGGUCUGAGAGGAUGACCAGCCACACUGGAACGGAGACACGGUCCGGACUCCUACGGGAGGCAGCAGAGGGGAAUAGUGCACAAUGGGCGAAGUCCUGAUGCAGCCAUGCCGCGGGGGUGAGGAAGGCCUUCGAGUUGUAAAGCACUUUCAGCGGGGAGGCGUUACCCGCAGAAGAAGCACCGGCUAACUCCGUGCCAGCAGCCGCGGUAAUUC
rnacentral:rRNA from 1 species